GACGAACGCUGGCGGCGUGCUUAACACAUGCAAGUCGAACGGAAAGGCCCUGCUUUUGUGGGUUGCUCGAUUGGCGAACGGGUGAGUAACACGUGAGUAACCUGCCCUUGACUUUGGGAUAACUUCAGGAAACUGGGGCUAAUACCGGAUAGGAGCUCCUGCUGCAUGGUGGGGGUUGGUAAGUUUCGGCGGUUUGGGCUGGUCUCGCGGCUUAUCGGCUUGUUGGUGGGGUAGUGGCUUACCAAGGCUUUGAAGGGUAGCCGGCCUGGGAGGGUGAACGGCGUCAAGGGUACUGCGGUACGGCCCAGUCGCCAACCGGAGGCAGCAGUGGGGAAUUUGGCGCAAUGGGCGGAAGCCAGAGGCAGAGAUGCCGCGUGCGGGAUGACGGCUUUCGGGUGGUGAACCGAUUUCUCCUGAGACAAAGCGUGAGUGACGGUAACGGGUAAGAAAGCACCGGCUAACUACGUG
rnacentral:rRNA from 1 species